AUCACUUCUCACCCUUCUGGCUAAGAUUAAGUAUCACAUCUAUUCUCAUAAGUUUAAUUUCUGAUACAUUGUCUAUCAGAGGACAACACAUGAAACACAUUUUUGCAGCAGGGAGAUGAAACGGGAGCCUAUCUCAUCCACUGUACACAUCAAUCUGGCAUUACAGUACCUCCGGGAACAGUGCUCCAAUU
ensembl:snRNA U2 U2 spliceosomal RNA